UACGUAGGGGGCGAGCGUUAUCCGGAUUUACUGGGUGUAAAGGGAGCGCAGACGGGAUGGCAAGCCAGAUGUGGAAGCCCCGGGCAUAACCCGGGGAGUGCAUUUGGAACUGCCGGCCUGGAGUGCUGGAGGGGUGAGCGGAAUUCCUGGUGUAUCGGUGAAAUGCGUAGAUAUCAGGAAGAACACCGGUGGCGAAGGCGGCUCACUGGACAGUAACUGACGUUGAGGCUCGAAGGCGUGGGGAGCAAAC
rnacentral:rRNA from 1 species